CAGUAGCCGCGGGAAUACGUAGGUGGCAAGCGUUGUCCGGAUUUAUUGGGCGUAAAGCGAGCGCAGGCGGUUUCUUAAGUCUGAUGUGAAAGCCCCCGGCUCAACCGGGGAGGGUCAUUGGAAACUGGGAAACUUGAGUGCAGAAGAGGAGAGUGGAAUUCCAUGUGUAGCGGUGAAAUGCGUAGAUAUAUGGAGGAACACCAGUGGCGAAGGCGGCUCUCUGGCCUGUAACUGACGCUGAGGCUCGAAAGCGUGGGGAGCAAACAGGAUUAGAUACCCCCGUAGUCCCUGUCUCUUAUAA
rnacentral:rRNA from 1 species